UACAUUUUUUAAAAUUUGCCUUGAGACAGUCUUCAUCUAUAGAUCUCAGGGCGGUUCACAGCAUGAUUAAAGCAUUCAGCAUUCAGUCACCCUAGCACAACAAAUGCACUUAAAAACAAGCCAACGUGCACAGAAAUAUAUUGCAGAUUGAGGGCAAAAUGCAUUGGAAAGGGUGGAAUGGACAAGUGACAGGAACGAGCCUGCAGUAAAUCACACAAAACAAGUUGACGUUAACUCUUUAUUAGCAAAAACACAAUCUGCACAGGAGUGCCAUGCCUAAUGGGUACAGCAGCUCUUGUCCGGCAGGUCUGGGCCCCAUGAAGCAGUUGAUGAGACUGAAAGCCCUUGCGUCCCCACAGCUGCCUAUGUCCCCUCCUCUCUAGUGUUUUUGCCAAUCUUUGCUCCUCCUGCUUCAUGCCUCUCCUGGUUCUGGGUGACUGGUGGGUAAGGGGAGCUUGUUGCAGCAGGAGGGGGAGACCCCCGUGACUCUGCACCAGCCCAACUCAUCUCUGCCUCUCUGCCUCCCUCCUCCUCUGCUUCAUCUUCUGCCUCUGAUUCUACACUUCUCUCUGCCACAGACUCUCCCUGCUCACUAAACCCUGUUAGCUCUUCAGCUUCCAACACUUCCAGUCCCCUGACUCUGAGCCUUCUUCUCUUGCAGGUUUCCCAGCUGGUUCCUCUUACCAUUCCUCUGUGUCCAACCAGUCAGUGACCACAAGUGGCCCAUGGGAAGACAUGUAAGCUCCCCUCAGGCUGAUCAGGGUGAAUGCCAGCGUGGUGUAGUGGUUAAGAGCGGUAGUCUCGUAAUCUGGUGAACCGGGUUCGCUUCCCCGCUCCUCCACAUGCAGCUGCUGGGUGACCUUGGGCUAGUCACACUUCUUUGAAGUCUCUCAGCCCCACUCACCUUACAGAGUGUUUAUUGUGGGGGAGGAAGGGAAAGGAGAUUGCUAGCCGCUUUGAGACUCCUUAAGGGGGGAGUGAAAGGCGGGAUAUCAAAUCCAAACUCCUCCUCCUCCUCCUCCUCCUCCUCCUCCUCUUCUUCUUCUUCUUCUUCUUCUUCUUCUUCUUCUUGUCGUCAUCCAACUCACCUGCAAGCAAAUCAGAAAUAAUCCCCAAUAAAAACCCAGCAGAGGGUCUUCUAGACUCUUACUGUUUUGGGGUGGGGUUCAAUCACAUCCCGGCAAAGAUAGUUGUGCAAAGAUAGUUGAUUAUUGGGAUGUCCCGCGCAGAAUACCCUCUUCCCUAAAAAGAUUGGGCUUUUUGUGAUAUGUCAAGUAUCACUUGCAUUGCUGUCGCAUCGUCUGACUUCCCCACAAACAAAUCAGAACGAAUGCUCAUUAAAUGGCUAGCGUCAUCUAAUCUCCCCGCAAGCAAAUGAGGAUCAAUGCACACACAGAAGGAAAAAAAGAGGUAAAGGACCCCUGGACUCUUAAGUCCAGCCAAAGGGGACUCUGGGGUUGCAGUGCUCAUCUUGCUUUCAGGCCAAGGGAGCCGGCGUUUGUCCACAGACAGUUUUCCGGGUCAUGUGGCCAGCAGGACUGGUGCAUGGGGGACCGUGACGAGUGCCAGGAAAGGCCGUUUACCUUCCCGUCACAGUGGUACCUAUUUAUCUACUUGCACUGGUGUGCUUUCGAACUGCUAGGUUGGCAGGAGCAGGGACUGAGCAACGGGAGCUCACCCCGCUGCGGGGAUUCGAACCGCUGACCUUCUGAUUGGCAAGCCCGAGAGGCUCAGUGGUUCAGACCACAGCACCACCUCUGGAGGCUUAGCCUGGGGCAAAAAAAACCCCAUCUAGCCCUCUAUAGUUAUGGCUCUGACUUUUGGCACUGAAAUUUGCAAAGCCACUGAAAAACUCUGAGAUCUCUGAGCCCAUAAGUGUCCUCUAACAAGUUUGCUGGGCGAAUUGUGGGGUGUUGAGGCCAGCCAAGGCCUGUUCCAAGAAAACAGAGACUUCUGGCAAUGUGGGGGCAGGGAGAACAACAUCCUUUGCUGCUUGCUGCCACGACUAUUGAAAGCCAUAAUAAACACGUUUGAUUUAAUGUUCCCCAGAGCAGGGCACUAGGAAUUCUUUAUUAAAAGGCUAGUCCCAGCUGCUCAGUCUGUCCGGGAGCUACUGGCAGAGCCUGCAAAGCGUGUCAAUUAGUGUGUCUGCUUUAGAAAUUGGGAGGGGGUUUGCUAUGAGAUCUUUGCAGCUACCACAAUUCUCUCCUAAUAUUUCCGCAUUUUUCUUGCAAGGCUCUUGGGCCAUUUAUUUACUAAAUUUAUAUAUCCCACAAGGCAGUUUACCUGGACGUCAGGGAGAAAGCUGAAUUAAAACCCUGAAGUGCUAGCUUUCUACGGCCGGGGAGUUUCUCACACAAAGAAUGAUCCAACCCUAUGUCCUUGCACUUACAGGAUGAAGCAGCAAAGUUUCAGGAAGGAGCGCAACAAGAGGGGCAAGAGUGCAAAGGGUUGCCCUGACUGACCCAAAGGCCUUGUCCACACCCUCGAUCUUUACCAACUUAACCUUACCCAACACAACAGGACUGGACAGUGACCUGGACACUUCUUGAGACCCAUCAGCAGUAACAGCGGAGUCAAGAUCCCAGUGGAUGCAAGCAAUUUUAUCCACAAAAUGCUUUGCAAAAACAAGCUACCGCCAGUUCUGUCACCUCCUUCAAGCCAGACACAAUGAGGAUGCAAUGGAAGCAGCAAAGUAUGCCUUCAACCCUACUAGGAAGGCUCAAUGAUGAGUCCUUAUCAGUGUUCAAUUGCAUUUAAACAGAGUUUUUCUGCACUUGUGUUCAAGCUCUAGUUAUCUCCUGCUUGGACUACUGCAAUGCGCUCUAUGUGGGGCUACCUUUGAAGGUGACCCAGAAACUACAACUAAUUCAGAAUGUGGAAGCCAGACUAGUGACUGGGAGUGGCCGCCGAGACCAUAUAACACCAGUCCUGAAAGACCUACAUUGGCUCCCAGUACAUUUCCGAGCACAAUUCAAAGUGUUGGUGCUGACCUUGAAAGCCCUAAGCAGCCUUGGCCCAGUAUACCUGAAGGAGCGUCUCCACCCCCAUCGUUCAGCCUGGACACUGAGGUCCACCUCCAAGGGCUUUCUGGCAGUUCCCUCACUGCGAGAAGUGAGGUUACAGGCAACCAGGCAGAGAGCCUUCUCGGUAGUGGCACCCACCCUGUGGAACGCCCUCCCAGCAGAUGUCAAGGAAAUAAGCAACUAUCUGACUUUUAUAAGACAUCUGAAGGCAGCCCUGUUUAGGGAAGUUUUUAAUACAGUGGUACCUUGGGUUAAGCACUUAAUUCAUUCCGGAGGUCUGUUCUUAACCUGAAACUGUUCUUAACCUGAAGCACCACUUUAGCUAAUGGGGCCUCCCGCUGCUGCCGUGCCACCGGAGCACAAUCUCUGUUCUCAUCCUGAAGCAAAGUUCUCAACCUGAGGUACUAUAUCUGGGUUAGCGGAGUCUGUAACCUAAAGCGUAUGUAACCUGAAGCGUAUGUAACCCGAGG